CCGCACUUCCUCCCCCAGGUUGGAACCAAUUAGCACCACAUGAUCCGCGUUCCCAUCAUUCAAAGGGAUUGGUACUAGAUCUUCGAUUGGGCCGCCCCUCUCUUCAGUGAGGUCAUCGCGAGCAUCCAAUCCAUCGACAGGACAGGGGUCCGAUUGAUCGCUUCUUUGCAAGGCGAUGCUGUAGCAAUGUCUAGCUAGGGCUUGGUCUCCCCGGACCUCUCCAAUCCCCUGGCUGGUGGAGAACUUCAGUUUCAAAUGGUAGGUCGAUACGACAGCUCAAAGAGCAUUAAG
rnacentral:lncRNA from 1 species